ACGGAAGGCAGCAGUGGGGGAUAUUGCACAAUGGGGGAAACCCUGAUCCAGCGACGCCGCGUGAGUGAAGAAGUAUUUCGGUAUGUAAAGCUCUAUCAGCAAGGAAGAAAAUGACGGUACUUGACUAAGAAGCUCCGGCUAAAUACGUGCCAGCAGCCGCGGUAAUACGUAUGGAGCAAGCGUUAUCCGGAUUUACUGGGUGUAAAGGGAGCGUAGACGGCUUUGCAAGUCUGAAGUGAAAGCCCGGGGCUCAACCCCGGAACUGCUUUGGAAACUGUAGAGCUAGAGUGCAGGAGAGGUAAGUGGAAUUCCUAGUGUAGCGGUGAAAUGCGUAGAUAUUAGGAGGAACACCAGUGGCGAAGGCGGCUUACUGGACCGUAACUGACGUUGAGGCUCGAAAGCGUGGGGAGCAAACAGGAUUAGAUACCCUGGUA
rnacentral:rRNA from 1 species